GAAGUUCCAGUGUAUGAUUUGUGAAACCAAGUUUACUUCAUCUUCUACUUUAAACAGACACCAAAGGUUUAAACACUGGGAAAGAAGAAUAUGGACAUGUGUUUUGUGUGGGAAGACUUACACCCACCCAGAAAGUUUAUCACAACAUCGACGGAUGUACCACAAGAUUUUUUCCAGACAUGUAGAAAGUUAAUACAAAAAAAAAGUCACCUGUUAGCUGCAUUUAAAAGGUUCCAGUGUUUGUUAUGUGAAACGAGGUUCACAUCAUCUUAUGCUUUAAACAGACACCAAAAGUUUAAACACUGGGAACGAAGAACGUGGACUUGUGAUUUGUGUGGAAGGGUGUACACCCACCCAGAAAGUUUGUCUCAACAUCGCCGGAUGUUCCACAAGAUUUUUUCACGAAAUGUUGAAAGUUAGCGAUUAAAGGAGAAAGAAGUAGAAGCUGCCACAAGCUGAUGUAUGUUCUGUCAGUAUGUAUUGUUUAGAUAAGAAAACAAAAUGAAGCAUUUGCAAGGCGUAUAACAAGAAUAAUUGUACGUAUCUUGAAACUUUCUUAAGUAGUCGAAGAUUGUAAAUAUUUUAGCAUAUUUUUCUUUUUGUACUUCUAUGUUUGUUGAAUUUAUUUCAUUGUGCAUUUUGAAGUUCUAUGACUUGAGUUAUUAUAAACUAAAGUUUAAAACUAUGUCCGAAAAUAUAGUUAAUGCGUUGAACCAGCUUUUUCUAUUGCAUUUUGUUAGUCUUUUUUUUUCUUGAAAUGAGCUUCUUUUAGCGACCCACUAAACUCGGAUUUCAUGAUAUUCUUAUUGUUAGUCAAUCAACUUCUUCAAAUAAAUUUAUUCUAUAGUAUUUUCAAAAGUUUGUGGAUAAUAUUGCUUUAAUGUUUAUUACUUCUCAUGUUUUUAUUCUCUUUUACAUUAUAAAUAUGUAUAUUUAAAAUGAUUUUAACUUUGUUCUUCGACUUGUACACCUGAAGAAUGAUGCUUGUGUCAUGAAAAUUGUUUGAAUAAAGGUUAUUACAGAAUUUUUGUAGAUCAUAACUACCUAUCAUUGUUGGAAAAUGUUGGAGCAAACAAAAAAAAAACUAAAUCAAAUUAACAUAGUUGCUAAGAAUAGUGUAUGUACGUCAACUGAAAAAAGUGGGGAGGGGCAUGGUACCCACUUUAUCCUGUGUGUUAGAUGCCGAUGUUUUAAAUCAUGCGAUGUAUUAGUAACUAUUUUAUUUGGAAUUACACACACACAUGUACUAUAUAUGUCACAUUAGGGAGAGUUAAUAAUUUACAUUACUGAAUUUCUGUAUUUGACCAAAAUAUGUCUUGGAUCUUGUAUAUAUAUAUAUAUAUAUUCUGAUUAUUAAUAUUCAAGAGGUUGUAUGCAUUUGUAUCCAUGUUAGUGUUACUCAGAUAGUUACAUGUAACUAUUCAGAUAUACUAUCUAAAUACUGAUUCCUAAAUGCAAUGGCAGAGUGUCUCACCAGAUAACCAGUACUGAAUUUAUAAUAAAAGGUAAAUAAUUCUUUAAAGACAUUAGUUGCCUUUAAUAUUUGAUAUGUUUUCAUUAUCAGUAUAUUUUAAUAUACAAUGUUAUUUCUGUCUGCUAACUUUUAAACAUACACUGAGAAAAUGAAGAAAUAUAUAUAAAAACAUUGUAUUGUCAAAUUAUUUACUUGGUGUUUUGUUCAUAAAUAUUCAAUAUUACUUUUUGCAUCCUGCUUUAGGUAUCUGUACCUUAAUAUAACUUUCACUGUUAUGUAUUCUGAAAUAAUUCUUUAUGGUAAGCAAAAAUAAACUAGUUGCUUUUAUUAAUGGUUCCAUGAUCUAUUUAAAAUAAAUAUUGAAAAUAAAUUAUUUAUAUACAGGUUUUUCACUGGGAUAAUUAAAUUUGAGGCAUGAUAAUUUUAUCCUUUAAACUUAACUUAGAGGCCUAUAUUUUUAAGCAAAGGCAAGUGAUCUGAGAGGAAUAGAACAGUUAAUUUCAGUGGGGUAAAACUAUCAAAAAACUGUUCGGGAAAGUAAUUUAACUGGUCCUUCUUUUUUGUAAUAAUUUUAUACAGUUUUAUUACUAAGAAAGCUUUCCUUUGCACUUGCUUCGGUUGCAAGACAACUUCACAAUCAAAAAUGAUCACGGUGAAAGUAAUUCAUUUAGGCUGAAUUUAAUACAUACCACAUUUGGAGUUGUUUAACAAACUAAACACAUUGUUUAUGUUACUUUAAAUUUUAAAUGGCUCGAGGCCCAUUGCUAGCUCUGCCAGAAACCCAUCUGCCCUGUCAGUCCACCACUUGUAUCUACACUUUUAAAUAAAACGUUUUUAAAAUACCUAGGAUAUCUUACACAUUUUGUAGCUUUAUGUACGUACGGUUAUCUAACUCGUGAAGUUAAAAAGCUUAAUAAGACAAUGAGAAUAAAUAAUUUUAAACUCAGUGACCCCUUUUAAGUAGCAUGAUAAGACUACACAAUUAAUCUGGAUUUUAUAACUUGCAAGUUGAUCAGAUAAUUUCAGUUUAUUAGUCCAGUCCAAUUUGAAACAUUGGGGUUAAAUACAGCAACUAGCUUAUAUUCAUCAUUGUUCAGAUAGCAGUUAUAAUACAUAGUAGAAUGCUUUUCAAAAUUUAACAGCUAGCCACUCCUUGUUGACAAACAUUCUUAUUAAGGGCAUGUAACGUUGGAAGAAUAUAUCUAAGCUCUUUUUAUCCCCAUGAAGAACAUCCUUUUAUUUUCCAGUUAAUUACCCAAUUUUACAUUAUUAUUUUAAGAAAAUGUGUGAAGACCAAGCUUUGAACUUUGGGAAUUUAUUUUUGAUUCACUCUUAAGAGUGCUAACAGUAAGUUUUAAAAUAGAAUUCCAGUUAAUGUAAUUUUAUUCUUUUAAUCUGUUCAGCAGCUUGGGUACUAGAACUCUGCUCCACAGUGCCUGACGUCUUGCAUUUUUAUGUUUAGAGGCAAGUUCAUUUGUCACCUUUGUAAUGAAGAGUUUGCGUGGGCUUCGGGAUUGAAUAGACAUAAACGAACUGUUCAUGGAAAGAAGCAAGUUUUUGAAUGUUCGCUCUGUGGAAAAGUCUAUCAUCACCCAGAAAGUUAUUCCAAGCAUAGACGAACAGUGCAUCAAAUAUUUGGGCACCAUCUUCGCACAAGCUAUUUCUAGAUGAGCAAAAUUGUGUAGUUUGAGAUACUAAUUAUUCUUGUAAAUGUAGACUUCAAAAUGACCAUUAAUAAAAGUUUCCCAAAGAAUUAUGUCUGUGGCCUUUACAUCUAAAAUAACCUGUUACAAAUUUUUCAUGGUUAAACAAUGCUAGUACACUAGGUGAGUAAGUUUUUUGACUGUAUUAUGAUAAGAAUUUAUUAAUUUCAGUUCUGUGCUCAAUAAAAUAUUUUUAUAAUUAUAACAACCCUCUUCUUUCUGUAGGUUGUUAUAAUUUAAAUAUGUUUUUUAAAUACGUGAUCUUGAAUCCAAUAUAGAAAAGCCUUGGUCUAAAAAAAUUUAGGACUGAUAAUUCAUGCAGCUUUAAAAGCAUCAUUAAUUAAUUUUUAUGUUUUUUUUGUUAUUGAUUUUCAGUUAGUUCCAAUGUUAGUUUAUAUUUUAAACUAGCAGUUUAGAAACAUCAUCAUAAGUGUUCAGCUCUCAAAGUUUUUGAAACUAAUAAAAUGUUUCUUGGAUUUUUUACCAUUAAUAGAAAAAUAGUAAUAGUAGCAGUAAGUUUCAUCAUUGUAUUUAAAUUAGAUUAUAAGAGUUUUUUUUUAAUUUCUAAAGCAUUCUUAUUAUUAUUUCUUAGUAAAAUCAUCCCCUCAUGGAUCAGUGGUACAAUCUGGGGAUCAAUUCCCCAUGUUCUAAAGAGUACAGAUACUUAUUGUGUAACUUUGUACUAAAAACAACCAAACAGAAACCUAAUGAAAUCUAAUGAUUGCAAUAAACUGUUACUUGAUAAUUUUUAAAAGCAAAUUUUUUUUUAUACUGCACUUGUAGAAAUAGUUUUUUUGAUCUAAUACCUGUCAUAGUUUAAAUACAAUACACAGUAAACAAAUAAUAGUUAUACUACAAGGAAAAGUGUCUAAAUAUGAAAACUACCAUUGUUUAUAAAAUGAAUUUGUUGUGUGUGAAUAUUCUGUAAAUGAAAGUUAUUCAACAAAACAAUGUUUCAUUACAUAAUUUUGGUUUUAAGAAAAAUCACAGAGGAAAGUGUACAGCUGAAAUUUGUUUCACUGGAUUUUGUACAAAACUUGAGUAUACGAAUCUAAUCAUAUAAUGCAGGAACAGGACACAGCCUUGAAAAUUGGGAAAUAUUUUUAAUGUUUUAAAACUAUUAGAUAUAACAUUACAUUUUUUAUUGAUUAAUUUAUAUAAAAGAAAAAUCACAUUUCUCAUUGUGGGACUAUAGGUGCAUGGUAUAAAGGUUAUGGUCAAAGUUCACUAUUUCAUUACAGUAGCCCAAGAGUUGGCUGUGAGUAUUCUUGACCAGCUCCUCUCUCUUUUAGGUUAAAAAUUAUAGAUAAUUAAUGUAGGUAGCCCUUGUUUGGAUAUCUGAAACAAAUAUUUAUUGUAAUUUUGUAUCUAAGUAUACCUAAGAAAAUGUAUGUUACCGACCUGAAACUAGAAUUAGAGAUGCAGUAUCAUCCUAUACCUUUUAAACCAGGAUUAAAGAUCUUGUGCUGUUAGUUAUACAGAAACAGAAUCAAGGUUUGAAGAAAGAAUUCUGUUAGUUUUUCAGUUCUGAGCCUAUACAUAUGCAAAUGGUUGGUCACGUAGCUGUGAAGCCAGGAAUUGAACAGUAGUUUUGUAAAGCGGAAGCCAAGGUUUGACGUAGUAUGAUGGUUAGUCCUACAGGCCUGAAACUAGAGUUUAAAGCAGAGUUUGUCAACCUAUUUGUGCUCAAGACACUCCUAUACGUAGUCUACAAUUUCCACAUCACCCUUAACACUUUGCGAACCAGUUGACAGUGGCAUGUCGGGGGGGGGGGGGUAUAUGAAAUAUGGGAGCUUUAAUUUUUCUUUUAGUACACAUAAAACUUUUCAAAUAUGUGAUGUAGUAAUUUAUAUAUACAUUUGUUUACAAUAUUUUACCGAAAUUACACAACACCCCUAGAGUUUAAAAAACACUGGUGUAAAAAAUGGGACUUUAAUUGAACAAUUACUUGUUUUUAAGAUUUAUUUACAUUUUGAAAAGUAGUACUUAUUAGUAGAGGUUUAAUUUUAUUAGUUCAAAAUUGCAUGUUACAGUGUAUUCAGUUAUUUAACACAAAAACAAACACUGUAGGAAAUCCACAGUAUAUUUUAUUUUGUGGAUACUUAUGGUUUCAUUAACUGUUAUAUUAUGUAGCUGUGUGUAUCUAAAAUUCAGCGUAGUGAUAUAUGUAUAUUAAAUAGUGCCGUUUCCAAAUCAGAACCUUUUUCUGCUCCCAGAGGUUUUGAAUCAAGCAUGAAAUAAAAAUAACGAGACCCAAAAGGGAAGGAUUAGCAUUAAAAAAAUCAUUUUUUUCAUUAAUUUGAUGUGAUUAUGAAGGGUGGAAAACAAAACUCUUCUUUCAUUACUUUUAUAUGAUUAUUUCUUCAUUUAUCCACAGGUAAACGAACAAGUUGCCCGUUUUGUCAAACAGAAUUUUCCUGUUCUUCAGCUAUGAGGAGACACGUGAGGAUCCUUCAUGGAGAAAGAAGCAUUUCUCGUUGUUUUCUUUGUGAAAAAGUCUACAGCCAUCCAGAAAGUUUGACUAAGCACUUAAGAAUGUCACAUGGUGUUUACCAUGGUGGACAGCGCCAUCAAGUAGACCCAAGCAGACUUGUAUAACUGAAGAGUUAUUUGUUUUUCUUACAUCAGGUGAAAGUAAAUAUAUGUAAUAAUUAGUAAAGCCAGAAAAUUGUAACCAUGAUUUAAAUGCCAAGUAAGAAAAUAUAAUUGCUUAUUACAUGAACGUUACUUUUCUUCCUUCUGACUUACAGUAUUUAUAUUUGUAUAAAGCUUAAAACAAAGAGAUUUCCAGUUAUUUUUCUGAUUAAAUCAAGUCCUGUUUAUUUUGACAUUAUGGCCAACAGAA
rnacentral:lncRNA from 1 species